rnacentral:rRNA from 1 species
AUUGCACGCUGGCGGCAGGCUUAACACAUGCAAGUCGAACGAGUGGCGGACGGGUGAGUAAUGCAUGGGAAUCUGGCUUAUGGAGGGGGAUAACGACGGGAAACUGUCGCUAAUACCGCGUACCAUCGGAUGUGCCCAGAUGGGAUUAGCUUGUUGGUGGGGUAACGGCUCACCAAGGCGACGAUCCCUAGCUGGUCUGAGAGGAUGACCAGCCACACUGGAACUGAGACACGGUCCAGACUCCGACGUGAGGCAGCAGUGGGGAAUAUUGCACAAUGGGCGCAAGCCUGAUGCAGCCAUGCCGCGUGUAUGAAGAAGGCCGUCGGGUUGUAAAGUACUUUCAGCGGGGAGGCGUUACCCGCAGAAGAAGCACCGGCUAACUCCGUGCCAGCAGCCGCGGUAAUAC